AUCCAUACUAAAUUAUUUGUUUGGUGUGCUUGAUGGGCUAACUUAUGAAAUAAUUUAUUAUUGGCCCUAUGAAUAAAAACCAUUUUACGAUUCCUAAAUCUAUUUGUGACAUUUGAUGUUGACGAAAGUGUGAUGAUGAAGAAUCAUGGAGUGAAGAGCGAUAGGAGAAAGCGAUCAAAAUGUGAACAGCUUGGUUCGGUUUGUGAUGGAGGUUGAAGAAUUGGUUCAACGGGUCGGAGUGAAGCUGCAGUUUGGUUGAUAGAGAUUGGGAGCUCUUAACGGAUUUCUAUUAGCAUCUCCUUUCCAAAUUCCAUUUUCAGGUUUGAACGGGAGAUUGCCGGAGGGAGGUCAGAAGCGGUUGGAAGCUGUUAUAGACUUAUCGAGAAGUUUGGGUUUUAGUGAGCAGGAAUUGGAAUGAAGUUUCUAUUUUUGACUUCUGUUUCUCUUUCUUAUAAUAUUCAAAUUGGUUAUUGAUAGCCACGGUUGACAGAAACCCACACUGCUUUUGUGUAGCUAUGAAAUUUGGUCUUUUAGCCUUUUACACUUCUGACUUUAUUUUACAGGUGAGCUGCGGUCUGAACGCGUGCAGUAAGUCCUGCUUUGUUGCACUGCUGGUUUUGCAGGGUCUAUCCCAUAACGACAGUUAAGCCUUGAACUGAGCGACGCGGAAUCUUAGACCACGGCGUAGGAGUUCCAGCUUGUGAGAUGGUUCGCCGCUUGUAGCAUGGUUCUGUCUUGGUUAAUUGCAGGUGACUUCUUUUGGCUCAUGUGUUGAACUUGGAAGCUAAUGACACCAAUGUUGAACUUGGAAGCACCAUAAUGGAAAAGAUUCAAGGGCCAAUUAAAUCUCGGGAUUUAGGACUAGGAUUUGGAUAAUUCGGGUUGACUUUGGUCAAAGUUGACCAAAGUCAACAUUCAGUCAUAAAUGCGAUUUUUUUUUAAAUUUCCAUGUAAUGAACAAUGUAUGAUGGAUUGUAAUAAUGUAAUUGAUCAUUUGAAUGGAAUAAAACACUUUGAAUGAAA